GCGAAGAAACAGAGUAAGAGGCUUCUAUAAUGUGCGAUUUUCUUCUCCUUCUUAUCGAUUGAUACAAAUUAUAUACAAAAAAAGUUAUAACUCUUCUAUGCAUACGGCAAGCUUAACAGUUUUGUUGCGUCAUUCUGCAAAGUCAAACGAUGAGGGCAAUUAUAUUGACUUUUCCAUUGAGGGAAUAAUGAUUAAGGAGUAUGCUUCCUUUAAUGAU
rnacentral:lncRNA from 1 species